rnacentral:rRNA from 1 species
GACGAACGCUGGCGGCGUGCUUAAUACAUGCAAGUCGAACGGAAAGGCCCUGCUUUUGUGGGGUGCUCGAGUGGCGAACGGGUGAGUAACACGUGAGUGACCUGCCCUUGACUUUGGGAUAACUUCAGGAAACUGGGGCUCAUAUAGGAUAGGAGCUACUGCUGCAUGGUGGGGGUUGGUAAGUUUCGGCGGUUGGGGAUGGACUGGCGGCUUAUCCGCUUGUUGGUGGGGUAGUGGCUGACCAAGGCUUUGACGGCUAGGCGGCCUGAGAGGGUGACCGGGCACAAUGGGACUGAGAGACGGCCCAGAAGGCUACGUGAGGCAGCAGUGGGGAACAUUGCACAGUGGGCGGAAGCCAGAGGCGGCAACGCCGCGUGCGGGAUGACGGCUUACUAGUUGUAAACCGAUGUCUCCUGUGACAUAGCGGGAGUGACGGUAAUGGGUAAAGAAGCACCGGCUAACUACGUG